GAAAAGCCGAUUCAAUUAUUUCGCUCGCGCUUGCUUCUUUUUCACAGCGAAAAAAUCGCGCGCCACGGACUACGAUCGCAAUUGUGCCAGGCGCGAUUGUUCCGUUUUGAGAAACGUUCGUUGCACGCCACCGAUCGAUCGUACCAAGAGCGUGUGCCUCGUGAUUUGCCGUAAACACGGCUCAAAGGAGGAUCUUUCUGUUCGUACGCGCGGCGGUUAAACGCAAUACGCGCGUGAAAACUUGCCACGACACGUGUUCAGAUAUUUCCGCGAGCCAGCGUACAUAGCUUAACGAGAAACGAAAUAAGACGUUAAGUUGUUUCGCGAGAGUGCGAGGAACGCGAAUGGAAGUUACCUAACGAUGCGGUCAUCCCGCUUGUAAAUUAAAAUUCAGCGCUGCGCACCGACGAAGAUGGCCACCGCAACAUCUGCGAUAGCCAGAAAGGGCCGGGAAGCUCGUACAAAUGCGACGGCAAACCGCAUUCUUAAUUAUAAAACUCGACUGCUACUCGCAGUUUCCGCCACGCUUACCCUCCAGAGAGAGAAAGAGAGAGAGAGAGAGUAAAGCUGGCUUUCACGAACCUGAUUGCGCUGCACGGUUAACAGAGGCGGGAUGAAAUUUGCAAACUACACUUUCGUCUUUCGUUAGGACCGAGAAACGUGUUAUUUCGCGUGCUGUGCGAGACCCGGUUAAAUCGAAGUAAACGGUGCAGUUUGACGAUGCAAAAUAGCAGUUUCGCGAGCAUCUCUGCCCACCGGGCAACUCUAUAAUGCCUUUGCACGUUGUCCUUUCUGUCGACCAAGGGCCACGAUAUUGCCCCUGUGUUUGGCUACCUUGUGGGGCAGCUGGAAAUUUUCAUGUCUUCAUACCUGUCCACUAACUUUCAGUUCUCUCGGUUAUACAAUGCUAAACACUUGACCGGCUGGAGACGCAAAUUCGCGCUUUGCAUACUUCAUGCGGUAUCAUCCUGCAGCAACGAAACCGCCAUCGAUACGUGUUAGAUGUAACAUUGGUCGGUCAGAAAGUUCAUUGCGAUUUUUAAGGAAUUUCAUAAAACAGUAAACUUUGUUUAAUACCUGUGUAAUCGGCAUUAAAGUUGAAAGAACUCCAGAUUCUGGGAGAAAAUAAUUAGAGACGUAAUUGCUUGGGGAACAUUAACCGGAAAAAUAAUUUGCGGCGUAUUAACACGGAAGAGAUUCUCUUUUAUCCGGUUGAGGCGGCGUAAGAGGACGAAAAUGCCGGCAGACGCUUGUAACAGAUUAUCCACGAAAGCGAGUGUUUUUUACUCGACCAGCCGUUGAUGAAUCGCGGGCAUUAACUAUAUCCGCGUCGGGAAUGAAAGGAGGCGCAAGAAUGAACGCGUACUCUUAAUGCAGCCGAUAGAACGCCGACGACAAACAAAAAUGGACGUGGUUUUAUUCCGAGAUACAGAUUGCUCGGCUUUUUCUCGCCUGUUGUAAAAACGCAUUAAGCAACGUUUUAGCCGCGAGUAGGAACACGAAAACAACAUUUGCCGUAAUUACAGCUUCGGCCUCGCCUCGGCCUCCGAGACGAUCAUUUAUGUAUAUAACCGCGCGAUAAUUUUGACCCAGCGAGUCGAACAACGAACAGUGGAAAGCUCGGUCCAAUCAACGUCCAAUGGAAACUUUUUAAAUCGUGUGUACACUGAGGAAUUUCUCAAGCUCGAUCAACGAUAGCACAGAAACAGCCAAAUAUGAAAUAUAUCUAUUAUUUAUAUUGGAAUAUAUCAACUAUUUUGUUGUUCGAGUGUCGCGCGUUCGAUUUAAUACGAUCGAACGCGAGCUUUGAUUCCGAUUAUUUAAAAGGAAAAAAGCACAGCCAGGAAUAAUCUCUCAAGCUCUAUCUGUAUAGCAAAGGAAAGUAGUCACAUAUCUAUAUUCCGUUAUCCAAUAAAAUGUCACACGAUCGAUUUAAUACGAUCGAAUUCGAGUUUCCGAUUAUUUAAAAGGAAAAGAGGACAGCAAGGAAUCUCUCAAGCUGCAUUUGUAGUAGCAAAGGAAAGAAGCCAAAUAUGACAUACCAUUUUGCUAUCCGAGUGUCGUACGAUUCAUUUGAUGCAAUUAAACUCGAGUUUUGACUCCGAUUAUUUAAAUGAAAGAAAAGGACAGCUUUGUUCGUAUUAGAAAAAGACUUCUUAGGGAGAACACAUAUUCCCGGAAAAGAAAAUUAGAGUUCAUUCUUAUAAAGUAAUGCUUUUCGGGAAUACACGGGUGCUACGAAGCGACGUGUGUUUUCUUUUUCAAAAAGACUUAUUUCCCUUAAAGAGGAAACUUCUGGAAACAUGAAUUCUCGAAAGAGGAAUUAACUUUGUUCGCUGCGAUGAAUUUAACAGCAGAUGGUCUUUGUAAGUACCUAUCGUAAGCUUGAGAUAAUUGUCGAAACGUCUUGACCGGAAACACCGCUCCUCGAUCGAUGCGAGACUUUUCAUUUUAAUCAUGGACAGUUAAUUAGCACGAUUGCAUUAAUGCUUCUCGUCGCGUUGCAUAGGAUCGAUAAAGAAUGAGGCGACGUAGAUUGCUUCGCUGUCGAGCAUCGCCCGGACUCCACCUAUUCUCGUAGUCGUUGAGCAACAAGAAAUAUUAUUACAUUUCCAUCGAGUUAAUCGACGUGCCACUCACGAUCGCGGAAAGUAAUCUUCUUUUUUGAAGGCAUUCGCAGCGCAGAUCGACCUGCUUGCGAGUUCCUUGAAAUUCUGACGACACGUUAUUCGGUGCAUUAUAUUUGCCAUCAAUGACAACCUCUUCACGUUGAAACCUGCAUGUCGAUCGAGUCCUGAUCACCGACUAACAGCAGAUCCAAUCCCUGCACCGAUACGAGUGUCCUUCGCCGAUAUCGAACUACGUUCAUUCGAAGAUGCAUCGCGAGACCUAAGCGUCGAUGCAUACGUCGCGUAAUAAUUCAAAGACUUAUCGAAAAAAUGUCGAUCUCAAAACAGAAGGUCGAUCUCUUUAUUUGUACACGCUUGUACAAUGUUUCGCAACGAUAGACUUUAGGUCUGAUCGAGGGUGGAAUAUUGCAGACUCACUCGCGUGAUUUCGGGAGGAGUAUUUAUAUGCCGUUAUUUGUCGGAGUAGGAGAAAGACUUUGGUCGUACGGAUGUGUUAUAUGGUUGGAUGUAACUCUGCACUUCGGUUGUACGGACGUAUCGUGUUUAGGAUGACUGGACGUUACCCUGGCGGUGACUCAAGAUAAGGCGGUUGGGAUUACCUAUCUUAUCUCAUAGUGAGGCAAAUUUACCCCGUGACACGUACGUUAGACGCGUAUAUAAGCUUCUAACGAAAGAAGCAGAGAUAUACCGUGAAAUACGGUCCAUCCAGACGCAACAGCGUCGCUGAUCACCUUACGCUGGAUGCAACUUGAUACGCAGAAAAGAUUUCAUGGCACAAGUUUGCGGAUACGUCAAAUGAUUUCAUUGUCUUACAAGUCAGAAAAUUAACCAGUCCUUAACCAUCAUCUUGCGCGUCUUCCCUUUUCAAAUCUCUUCGCCUAUUUGUAGGCGAUUGCCUUCGUAACGUUUCAUCCAUAUUUCUCUCGUAAUCAAUCGCUUGGUUCGUGCGUACGCAAAUAAUUUAUUAUUAACGCGUUGUUCCGCGAAGGGAUCGUCGGACAUUUUCAAGACGCUUGACGGCAUGGACAUACCAAAGACGUUGCCAUGAACGAACUUAACGUCACGUUUAAUCUGUUUAUACGUAAGACUUUAAUCGCAUUCUUCGCCCGGUAUACUGGAUCGUAACAGGGUUGCUGCGAUGAUAGUAAAAAAAUUAUUGUACCCCGUAGAUACGUAGAUUCGCCUCUUUGUCUGUCCACGUAAGCGCGUCUGACGCUUAUAGGAAAUCUCACCUUAAGAGGAUUCUCCACAUUCCUGCGACAUUGCGUUCGAUCCGCUUUGCAGCGGCAUUUAAACGGGACUUGGGUGGAACGCGCGCAAGGCCGAACAGCAGAUCAAAGAGAGUGUUUGACGGCGGUAGCUGAACCCUGGCACGGACUUCGGCGCGCCAUUUUCGACGCCAGUUACAAUUUCAAAAUUUUAAUUAACCAGCAACCCUCGAGACUGCUGUGCGCUUCGUUAAAAGGGGCACGAAGCCAACGGGGUAAAUUGCCAAGAUGCGCACAGUAAGGUAUUCGAACGAGCAUUAGGAAAAAGGAUGGAAAAUGCACACAACGUGCAGUUUUCCUGAAACUUGGUAUCAGGAACUUCGUGUCGAGGAAAAUUUGUUCGCUUGAACCUCAAUCCGAUUCGAUCGAAACAUCUUUGCUCCGCUGUUUGACACUGCGCACGGUGACGUUUCAAUUCAAAACUAUGUUUUCCCACUUUUCCCUAAGUGUCGUAUAAAACGGCGUAUAAAACCUGACCAAAGGGGGAUGUUGGUUAGGCGAUUAUAACUGCACGACCAUGUUGCGUUUGUAAGGAAUAUGCACCGCAUACAAAACGCCCCGUAAUUAGCGAUACAACUGCGAAGAGCAUGAUCCUACAGGGAAGAAGCAAACAGAACGAGCAGAAUUUUUAGUUUAUCGCGCUUAGUUUGGCUUUGGAGGAAAUCGAGUUUGAGGAUUUUGCUGUUUCAUUUCAGCAUGGAUACAGAUGUUCUUUCGCUUGCAUUUGCAUGCAACAAGAGAAUCUAAUUACCAACGAUCUUUGACGUUGAGGUAACGUUAAAACUAAAUGAGAAAAGGAAACUGAAGAAUAAUUGAAUAAGGAAUCGAAUAAAGGAGAAGACGUUUUGAGAACGUAGGGCGAAAUUUUAUUCAUUUCUGUGCUGUUCUUCGUGCAUUGCGCUGAAAUAUUUUGUUAGAUAGGCGAGAAGCGUUUGUUGUUACCAGGUCUACCCAAAUCUGUAGAAAUUUAUACAACACCCUGUUCAAAAAAGUAAACUUGCUUCGAGAAACAUUGUUUCAACGUAGAAGAUUGUCACAAAAAUGUACGUACGUCGUACGUUUCUAAAACCAAACAGCGUACAGCAAGAUUACUCGUCGCGCUUGCAACAGGCCAACCUCUGUACAAUAUACAACUUGUCAUUUGAUUUAUAUCAAAUUAUUAAACAUUCGAUUUAGAGGAAUGGAACCUACGGAUAAUUCCAACUAAUGAGAAGACGUAGGUAGUUAUUACCAUAACUCGUUCGUGCUAGAUAUCCUGCACAAAGUAUAUUUCAUCUGAAACGUUAUCCAUCGAACACGAUGUCGAAACAACAUCGGAAAAUUAUUUCAUUCGCUUAGAACGAUACGCCUAUAGGCAGAUACACAGAUACUUGCGAAUACGAUGCAGCAAAUGUAUUUCAAAUCGUACGACGUUGCAUUUGAUCGACCACGAAGACGACCGCCGUGCAAUGGGAGAUGUACAAUUUAUUAAACGGUUUGAGAAAGGCCGUGAUUUUUAACGCGCGUUAUUCGCAAGACAGCGACGCUUGCAGUCGUAUUCCCAGCACGUUAGCGUCGAAAGUUGUUUCAGAUUGAAGCGCCGGCUUGGCCAGCUUUAUUUACAGCGCGACCGGCCACGAGCAGGUUAAUAUUGUAAAUGUAAUCUCGCGGAAUCCAAAGAGAGACGCGAAGCGGUCCGUGGCGAUCUCGUAAUGGCGGGAUUUCCGUUCUACAAUUUCCACUCGGGGGAAUGGGGCUACAUCUUGUCGGGGCGACGCUGAUUGGAUAUAAAAUUUCAUUUUGCCCCGGCACACCUAAAUCCACCGGUAACUCUCGAUGCUCGCGAUUCCGCUUUCAAUAAAAGUCCCUUUAUCUCCUUAAUUGCUAUCAUCCUCGUGCAAUUCUCUCGGAAUCGCGGCAGAUUUAAAAAAAAAGAGGAGGAACGACGUUGAAAAAUGAAUGAAAAAUCAUCGUUGGACCUGCUUCCAUUCCAUUGCGAAAACCUAAUCGAACGAACAGUAUCUCGAUGGAAAAUCGUUUUACCUAGCGGGAAUCGUAAGAAGGCUGUUUCGGACUGGUCUUCGAUGCAGCAAAAUCUGAGACGACGAUAAAAUAAAUCGCUGCGAACGUCUGAAUAUUAUCGAGAAGCGCGCGCGGCCAGUUUUCGUGCUCUCGUUUGUCAACGCGAUUUAUCAAAGUUUGUCGGAAUUGACGGUCGUUGCGGGCUAACAAGCUAAUCGAAAUAGCCGGUCGAAAUUUUACCUACAUCUAUGCGACACAAUUAGAAGUUGGUUCACGAGAUGUAACGCGGAAGUCGAAGCAUGGAGCUAGCGGUGCAGUUGCCAGUCGGGACGCGGUCGAAUACGCCGGCGGAAUAAAGGCGCCGGUAUAAAAGGAAACGCGGAGUCGUCGUUUCUCAGCGCUGUUAAACCUCGUGUCUGUGCAACCGUAUGCAGAGCAAACUCUUUGCGUGUCUCCGGAUUGAACGUAUAUACCGCAAGGUAAAGCUAUCCAUUCGGCUAUCCUGCUGUAAUGCGAAAAAUCAAUAUCGCAUUAGUUGACGGCGAAUGUCAGCGACGAAAUUAUGAAAUGUCAGUUUACGAAAUUGGAGAAUUUUGCUGGGGAAAUUCCUAUUGUUACGAAUAAACGUUUGAACGCGUACGUUUCCCUUAUUUUUAACCUACGCGUUGUUAUAUUCUGUCGAAGAAAUUAAUCGCAACAUGCAGCAGCGGGAUACAAUGGUCAAGACGACGAAGAUUUUCACGCGGAUAGGAAAUCGUAGAAAGUACGCGACUUCGCAAUUGAAUUCUAGGAUUAUAUCGGCUAUCGUAAUAUGAAGCUACUCGCGUACACUUGCGGAACUUUGAUGAAUCUGCUAAACGAGUUCUCUUAAAUCUGCAAGUUUCUUCAAAAUGAUAAUCUACGAGCAACUAUGGAUGUUUUAACAGAGUCCAAAUAGCGGCCAAUUUGCCUCUGACUCGAAGUACGAAAUUAAAUCAUUUCAAUAGCUGUUCUCUAAACGAUAUUGAGAAAUUGACGGUGAAUAUGAAAAGACUGGGAGGUAAAGGAGUAUCGUCGCUGGCCGAUCUCCGCUCUUUUAUUGUUAGCAAACGGUUGCCGUUAGUUGUAACGUUAAACUUUUCACCUAAUACAGCUUAAUAAGGAUCCAAUUAGUAAGAAGCACGCGUAAAAAGCCGAGCGAACUUGGUUGCAGCGAAGGGAACGCAGAGUCGUGUAAUCGUAGAACAAACACCUGUGUAGGAGCAGAACGACAAGACCAAGAAUUAACCUACCUGCACAGCCGUAGGGAUGUCCUUGCUUUAAUUGCAAGUAUGCCCAGGUUACCGCCAUUAUGUCUCGAAGUGCUGAACACGGCUGGCAUCCUCUCUGUGCCUGCAAGUAAUUUACUUGUAAACUAGUUGAGACGUUUUGCUCGCCAUACGAUCGAGCAGGAAGCUCCGUGCGAUAGAAUCCGAAGGUAAUUCGAAGCUAAGGACACGAGGUCUCUCCGUCGUCAACUGGCUCUUCUUUUUUAUACUGGCUCUUCUUUUUUUGACAAGAAGUCGAAUCGCAGCAUCGUUCGCGCGUUGGAGCAGAUCAGAAGACGAAGCAAAAUUACCUUAUCCAUAGGAAUCAAUCAGCAGCGUCGACAAAGAAAAAUUAUUAACGCAGACCUCGCUGCUAUCUCGAGUAUAGCGACGUACCAAGCGCGAAGAGGAUCUCGUAUCUACCGCCACGCCACUGUAGAUAAUUCGAUCAACCUGGAAACCAGUGUACGCGAUGCAUUUAUCAACAACGAAAACCUCAAAGCGAUAUGCUUAGACAUGGAGAAAGCGCACGAUAUAGUUCGGCGUACCAGAGUAAUCGCAGUAACUGACAACCCAUUGCAUCUCAUACGGAAUUUCCUAACAGAAGAAGGAGCGAAGGUUAGAGAGAAGAAUAUGCUGUGCAUUUGCCCGGAAAUAGAAAAUCAUAUUGCUCGAGAUUCGGUCAUUAGCGUGACGUCUUUUCUUCGAGAGAAAUUAAUGAUACUUGCAAGUAGAUCGGAGAUAUUUCGCAGUUAUUGCCAUCUUCUCGUCAGUGUCAGACACGCUGCCGCACUUUCAUCUACACUCGGUGCCUCCACCUGAAGAAGGUUAAGCGUAACGCACGAGCUGCUACUUUCUCAUCUUCGCGCUCAUCUUUCUCAACCUUCUUAGCGCGUUUUCGCUAGACGUCGGAACGACACUUUUUCUUCCUGAAGAGAUGGUUCUUGAACAACGUUCCGUAAGAAUUUCUCCGUGCAAAAAUGCCAGCUUCUCGACAUCCUUCUCUGUCUGAUCCAAAUGGCAAGUCAACGAAAGCACGCACGCAUCCCCCCGGUCUAAUCGAAUACAAUUGGACACCGGAGGAGGCAUCGUCGAACGAAGGUUUAUUUUACGAAAUUAGCCAAACAACGCAAGCCAUAGCGCGGUAAACCUGUCCGUAAGAGUAACUUUGAUAGUUCGUUGACCCCCGGGCUCGCGUUUCCCCGCGGUGAACCACAAUACGCCAGCUGGCUAACCUUGGUUGAGCCAAUAUUAAUUUCAUUAAUUAUGCGCCACCGUAUUACGAUAUUAGCGCCGGCACGGCCAUUCCGCUAUGCGGCAUAAUUUCCCCGGGAACCGCACUAAUUAUCGCGGCAAGCCUUCUUCGAGUACGACGAUCUGGUUCGAGGUCGUUCUUACUGGUUCCGAACGUGGGCGAACGAAAGUACCGCGCCGUAUCGAAAGUUGCUGAUAUUAAUUAGAUGAAAUAGCAGUGAAGGAGGAAAUCCCAUUUCUAAAAGAGGCGGUUCCUGUAAAUGUUGGGGUACGGAGAUGAUCGGUGUGUACGAUACGCGAGUUUCCGUCGCAUAACACGGUAUUUUUGCGACAGGGCCUGGCCUUAUCGCGCUUUGAAAAUUUUGCAAACCGUGGCGCGACGCGAUUUCUCUUUCCACGAUGGGAAAAUCCAACCUAACUCCAAACCUAUGAAAAACGAAAGUGUGUGUAUUCGUGGGAGACGUGCGAAUUGGAAAGAAAAGUCAAUGUCCCAUUGGUCUAGAUGGUUUCAGACAAAAGCCAAAAAUGCUGUUAACUAAUUGCAUGUUAAUCAUUAAAUUAUUACAUGCGAUUGCAAUAAUUGAACAGACGAGAAUGUUGAAACGCAAGCACGUCAUUCUUAGUUCAGCAAGCGCGAUCUGUCGUCUUAGAUUAACGUAUGAAAUUUUGAUAUACCGAAAUUUGUGAUCUAUUGGUAUUUGUAUUCUCUUGCCUCCUAUUCCUUUGCUUCCUCCUCCAACUUUGUUGCUCUUUUCCCUGUCCUAGUUCUUAUCUUGUCUCGUUUCGUCUCUCCUAGCCCCGUGUUACUCUCGUGUACAGCUGUCCAGACCUAAUACCCACCUUAUGUAUGUUAUCUGUAUCUUUUCCACUUGCCAUCUCUCUUCUUAAUCCCAUCCCUCAUACUCAUACGCCAGUACGUUCAACACUGACACGCGAAACAUGUACAUUCUCAACUUUAAAUCGCUCUUAAAUUUCCUCCGUCCUAUGCCCGAAACCUGGUUUAAUCUAAGUUAAAACCUUUCUUAAGUUUCCUCUCCCUUAUGGCUCGAAUCUGGCUUAACUCGACUGAAAAUCAUUUCUAAGUCGUCUCUGUUCUAUGCUGCAACAAACGUCGCUUAACUCGAUUGAAAUUAUUCUUCAAUUUUCUCUGUACAAUGCCUGAAACCCGAUUCAACGAAACUUUCGCUGGCCUCUCUGUGGCAAUUGUUCAUUUCUUGCCUGCUGUCCUUCUACGCGUAUAUUACAACAGCUCACUGUACUUUAACGUUGCAUCGUAUUGCCCCAGAAAUCCAUAUCAAUUAAUAGUUUGGCUGUUUAAUGCGAUAAGUCUACCGCAUAACGUUAUGGCGUUUGAUAUCAUCUCUUUGAAGUUGCAUACAAAUUGUAGCAGACACUUUGCGUAAAGUUGCUUACGCGGCGAAGGCAAAGCAACUUUGUAGAGUCUCGUUGUCAGUUAAGUUGUUGAAAUAUGCAAUUAAGCGUCUCUUAACGAGCCGUAAUACAGGUUACUAGCCGUAAAUCGGCUACUAUUAAUUUUCUGUUAAUUGUUGCACAUUACUGUAUUAACCCAUUAAUUUUCACGCGAUAGCAGCCGCGCUGCAUCUACGUAAAUUGCUGUCAGUUAUUAAAAUACAGAAACGAGAAGAAAGGGAUAGAGGGCUUUUAGGUGAAAAGAGAGCGAGCCUGAUCCGCUUCGUUAUAACGAACAACGCGUAACUCGUGCAUAAUUCGAGCCUUUAAAUUUAUGUAUUUUCCUGGAUAAACGUAUCAAAAUUAGCAUCCAAGCUACGACAUACUGCAACUUGCGAUUAAUCGUUUGUAAGGAAUACAGCAAUAGGGCAAGGAUAAUCCUCCAUGUCCGUGUGAUUUAUCGUCGUGGCUACUUUUCUGUUUAUUUCUUGCAACACUCUGAUCUCGCCUUUUCCGAUCUACAAAUCGCUGGAGCUGAUCGUGCGUGUCUAAGAAAAAAGUCAAACGACUACGUAAAUAUUGGAUCAUUAAAAUAAUGUUGGAAAACGAACGAUUAAGUCGAUAAGGAACUCGACAAAUUAACGUAGGUGUUUUAUUUUUGUAUAACACGCGACCGUGUGCGAGCAUAACACAUGGACGUUUCGCCUACUAUGAAUCUAUUUUACAUAAAAUUAUCAACAGCACUUGAUGAUCCAGCAAAGUUCGAUUAAUUUUCCAUUCAAAAUUGGUCUGUAAAAUAGCGAAUAUUUGAAAUUAGAAGCGCCAAUCAGAUACGGAUUAAUGCUAAAAUAAUUUGUUAAUACAAUUAGUCCAAUUAUCAAGCGCUGCUUUCCAACGUAAUUAUUUCCUUUCCAAUUAGGGCACAGUGUAUCCGUCCUAGUUAUUACGUAAUUAUAGCUAUACUUUUUUCUUCAAUGAGACGUAAAAAUUCGUUAAUUUACCCAGCUAAUUAUUCCUCGCUAUAAUAUACAGAAGUAGAUAAAAUGCAAAAGUGUCGUUUAAUCGAUCGACGAUUAACGAUACUGCGACGGCAAACUGGAAAAGUUUCAGUCUACUUUCUCGUUAGACCUUGUUCGAAGGUCCAUAAUUCUUCAUAUCCAAAAAUGUCGAAUAAAUAACAUCAAACACAUUAUCCUCUCGCGAAGAUCGGGAAAACUCGAUUAAGUUGGAGCCAACCGUAAAUCCAUGGCUGCGUUAAGCAUCGCGAUAUAACCGAGGACAUUAUCCCAUGCUUAAUACCACAGAAGGAAUUACUUACUCUGGUAUGCACGGCUUAAAAUUACGAGCUGAGCCGUGCCUGUGUCGGCGGUUUCGUUGUGCUCGCGGUAAACCAGGGAGGAGAGAUCUCGUCAGGUUAUUGAGCGUAUUUUAUUGGGAAAAGACGAUGUCAAAAAAUGGCCACUUUCGCGCCUGCUUGCGGACGAAAAAUCCCCACAGCAGGUUAUCUAACGAAUUAUCAGAGAAAUCCGAGUUUUAUGUGUAAGGAAAAUAACGAUAUAAAACGGAGAACAAACGUUUGUUUAAAUGGUCCACGAUAUCGAGCGUACGAGUGAUUUACAAUUCUUAGUCGUGAAAAGUUGUAGCAAGUUUCCAAUGGUGUUUCGCUUUCCUUCUUUCUCUGUUCGUGCUUUAAUAAGAAGUUAUAAUCUGAUUUUGCCCAGAGAAGGAAAUAAUUAUUACUGUCCAGCUCGUGUUUAGGUUUCCCUCUUCUUUUUCUAUUCGCGCUCUAAUAAAAACUUAUAAUCUAAUUUUCCUCGCAAGAGGAAAUAAUUAGUAUUGUCUGGUCGAUGUUUAGCCCCCUUUCUUUCUCAUAUUCCUGCUCUAACCUGAACUUAUAAUCUGAUUUUUCGCCAAACAGCAGAUGAUCAGUAUCGUCCGGCUGGUAUUCAGGUUUACUUCUUUUUCCUGUUCCUGUUCUAAUAAGUAUUCAUAAACUGAUUUGCCCCGCAACAGCAAACGAUCAUUAUCUGGCUGAUCCUCGCGUUUCUUUCGUUUUCCACGCACGCUCUAAUGAUAAACUGUCUGGCGAUUAAUAUCUCGAAAUUUAUUACACAGGCGAGCGCCGGAGGCAGUGAAUUUGAAAAACUCGCGGAGCUGUUACAAAUAAUGUAACAAAUCCUUCUGCAAUUCGUCCGAACUGUCCGUUUGUUUGCACCCUUUUAAAUCACGCGGAUGAAAGCCGCGCGUGAACGCAUCGGCUGCGUACGAAAAGCCGUCAAAGGGAUUUCGAAAAGCGAUUGCUAUUUCUAUCGAUGUCUGUCAUUCGUUUGAAGCCUCAAACGAAUUGUUGCCAGCGUUUCGCUCGCGGUAAGUCGAUACGUUUAACUAGAAAUCCGACGUGUAGGCUAACAGAGACGUUCAAUCUUUGGUCUCUGUGCUGACGUUGGCGUAUUCAAACAUAAAGCAGAGACUGGGCUGGCCGGCGGGCGAAAAACUGUUUUCUCAACAACUUAAAUCCACUCGGACAGGAUCCACGCCCCUGUCGAAAACUUUCCUGCGUUUUACGUUUGCUCGAUAAACACGCCGUCCCGGCUAUCUGCACUUUAUUGCUUAUACCGGAGAACACUUUCGCAAACAGCAAUCCAUCUAAAUAAUUUGCGGCCAAAAUACAGACACGUACGCGAAACGUGGCAAGGUGGUGCGUUUUACUGGCUCAAGAAAUAAAACAAAUGAAAUUGGCCGACACUAUCGUACCGAUAGUGAUCAAAGUUUCACACAUCCCGUACCGCGGCAGAAUUGAAUGUGUCGACGAAACUGACGACUGACUGACAAAGGCGACGGCAAAGGCAAGUUGAACAAAGUAAAACAGAGUAGGAUAAAAUAAACGGAAAAAACGAACGACUUCCUACAGCGAGUCGAAGCUUUUCCCGUCGAUCGACAAUCCUAUAGCGAGUAGCAGUUUAUGCAUUUUGGCUGAUCAGCCCAGAAAUUCGACUUGGUUAGGUGGACUGCAGAAUACGUAACAUUGUCUUUAUCGUGCGAACCUGGCUCACCGUAAACGCCAGAGAUCACAUUUUUUAGGUCAGCGAAGAAGCUUCUGAUUCAACGUUAAUUCGCACAUAAAGUUAGGUGAACAAAAGAAACGACCCCUUACUUGGCCGGUCCAGGUAAGGUUAGCGUUAAGGAAUAUCAGCGGUAUUAGUCACGCGUAUCCCUAGACCAGAUUUCCCAUCGAACCAUAAGACUAAUAGACUGGCAGCUGAACCGCGAUAAAAUCGAACAGUCUCGCAUCGUCCAUUUCCCCGGCCGGGAAACGCCACGUUCUCCCUUGGUUCGCAUCCAUCAUUCUCCGGUGUUUACCUAUCUGCCUAUAUCAGCAUUUCCCCGAGCCCAUUUUUACCACGUUGCGCUCUCAGGCGAAACGCGCUGCCUUCAAAACGGCUCUUGUUCGGUCGUUGGCGUUUCCAACUUGCCUCGAAAAUAUUAUCUUUAACGUAGCGGCUGACGAGGACACGGCGUUGUCGAUAUCACAGAACCAGGAGACUGCGAAAACAUUGUUCGAUGUUCUUCCAUACUCUGGCACAUGUUCAACCGGCACCGUCACCACCACCACCACCAACUCGUUCUCGCCCUGUUAAUCCACCUUUUUUUUCAUUUCUCCUUCUUUUUUUCAACCAGCCUUUUUUUCGAUACGAUCGCCACCGUAAUUACCAUUAAUGGUAAUUACCUGGAAGAUAAUUUCCAACGAGCGCAAUUACAUUUCUAUCGGACAGAGUGCAUCGAUUAUCGGCCAGCGAAUAUUAUGCUGAAUAUUCGGAUUUUACGGAGCCGCGGCGAAGGAAUUUGAUAUCAGACGAAAGCAAUCGAAAAGGGUGGAAUGUAUAUAAUUGGAAUAUUUUUGUUUCAAUGAGAUGGCGAUGGUCCCCUCUGUUAUUUCGCCAAUGGCUCGCCCCCGUUGCGGUGAAAUGUAAUUUUCUGCGGUUUUCGGACUAGAUACACUCCGAACGAAGGUAAAAAAAAAUAAAAAAUUUCGCUUUGAGAUAUGAAUUUGCAAGAGUCGUGUUUUAGCUUCUAAUUUGACGCGUAGAGCAAAAAUUGUGGAAGAACCAAUUGGUAGAAAUUGGCGUUAAAAGCGACUGACACUUUCCCCUGGUCCGCUUUUGAAAUAUUUUCCAGUCCAUCGUUUCAAAAUUACGAAUUGUUGGAAGGUAUUUUUGUAGUAAUUUCACGUAGAUGAAAAAUUGUUGGGGAACUAUUUAGUAAACAUUGGUUUUAAAGAAUGAUAAUCCUUUCUUCUGACUCGCUUUUUAAAUACUUUUCAAGGCUUCGUAGGAUGUCCGUGUUCUCGAAAUUUGCGAAUUACUCGAAUAUAUACUUUUGUCACGUUGUUAAUUCUGUCUAAUAGUGAAAUUAAAUCCGGCAAGUGUUGAUUUUAAGCCUAAACCAGCCACGUUCUUUCGCGUCUUGUCGAUACGAUUAACCGCGCGCUUCUCGUCAAACAGAAUCGAAAGGUGCAGAGUUUUGUUGUACGCAGAAAACAAAAGGAAAAGUUCAAACAGUUUAAUUCGGUUCAAUGGUAAAGUAAAAUCUGCCGUGGCUUGAAUUCAAACUUGAAAUAAUAAUUAAUGGUGCUGACCAUACAGAGUCAUCAGUUCCCUUUCUGCGUGCUUCCUUUCACGCGGACUUGCGAGAUUUAUGUAGAUUCAUUAAUCAAGCCAUUCACUAUUCUCGCUGAAUUAAAAUAUGUAAUAAGGGAAAUGAUUUAUCUGAGUAGCAGGUUUUGCAACAACAAUUAAAAGCUCGCAGCGCCGAGAGAAAGCAACUUCUUUAUAAACAUUAACGACAUGAUUAACGAACAAAGGGAGAAUAUUCCUCCUUUUGCAAGAAUAUUUCUUUCUUUCACGGACCCUGUAUACGUUUUCUCGAGGAUACUUUACAGAGCAGAGAGAAUAAAAAAUAAUUGGUUAUUUGCUAUCAAUCGGUAAUUUGCUAUUCCCGCGCAAAUAAAAAUUAAUUCGAGUAAUAUGCGAAUAUACGCGUUGAGUUCUCGUUGGAAUUGCAUUCUUCUUUCAGUUCGUUAGUAGCUGCACCGAAAGAUGGUGUUUUCAUUCCGCUUUUACAUCGCCAAUUCGUUUACUCCAUUUCGCGUUCCUCACGCCUCCGUUAUCAAGCGCAUAGAAUAUACGUUAUAAUGUAACGUAGCAUAUCCCAGCAUGCUCGUUCAGCCUUCCACUCGCAUCGUUUUCGUUUAAUUUACACAUUGUUGCGAUGUUUAACCCGCGAGAAUGACUGUACGGGAAUAUAAAUUUAUAAGAUUAUAAAAUACGUGGCCGUAGAAAUCGGAAUACAAAUCGUAAACUGUGCGCGGUAAUACGCAACGCUGUGCAGAAUUUUCGUUCGUAAGAUUGGCAUUUUCUCACUUUCUAAUUAUCCCAUUUUCUUGCGAUACGUCGCGACCGAAACGAAUGUGUAGCAGGCCUUUCAGUAUCGCGAGAUUUGAAACGAAAGACGAGCGCGUUGCUAAACGAAACAACGAAAACGGAAAUGGCGAAAUAGAAAGCAGUUCUCGCCGAAAUCCCGCAUUUAUUAAUUAAAAAACAAUCGUUGUUUCGUCAUGUAACCUUACAAAAUUCACUUUAGUUACUCAAAAUUGCACGUCGCGAAUAGACAAAAGUGUGAAUCUUUGCACCCGAAAAUCGGAAAGAAUAUUUCAAGUAAGUCAAUUCAUUUGCAGUUACGUUGCGUUAAUAUGCCUGCGUAUGCGUGACGGUUCGAUUAGAAUUUCAUAAAACAUGGGUUUUCUUUCCAUAUAUAUGCCAAAUUGAAGUUGAACAAAAUAACACGUAUAUCGUAUUUAUUUAUUGUAUCGUGCCUGCUCUUCUUUGCAACUAGGGUCCGCGAUACGCUACGACACGGUUAGAAAACCAGCAAUAUCUUCGCAAAAAUAACGGUUUCUUUUCGAAAGCAAGAAGAGUAAUUUGUAACUGUAGAUUAAAAUUGGGCAGCCGGUAUAAUCCACUCUGAAGAAAAUCAGACAGAGUACGAAGCAAUCGUUUCAGGACUCGAAAUUCUCGUACUUCCUUGGCAAAUUUUCAACGACGAAGGCUUCGAAAAUGAUCGCUGGAUAGAAUUUCUAGACCUAUCGCCUUCACGAAAUGACCGACCAGGAAAGAUCGAGCCGCGAUUCGAGUCGUCCAUCGAGUCGUCAAUCGAGUCGUCCAUCGAGUCGUCAGCCGAGCCACGAACCGAGUAGAGAGCUGAAAUCUCGUAACAAUUCUACGCCAAAUCACUUCGAUUGCGAUGCUCGAUGCGUGUCUCCUAGCACAGGGGAAGAUCCAACACUGAUCGUGCGUAGCAACCGAGUUUCUAAUACUUAGACCGCGAAUUUUUCGAAACUUAUUUCACGUAUCAUAGAGACCAGCAUACUUUCGGAUAUUUUAUACGCAGUUUCUCGUGCAGUUUUGCAUUUUCAAAAUUCCUCCCUCGCGAGCCAGUUGAUUUUAUCCUGACAGAAAUUUGUCUAUCGAUUAAAGCAAAUAUUAGCAAUCAGCAGCACGAAUGAACGCAAAAUAAAUGAGACGAUAUUUUUGAUAAAUACGCAAGUAUAAUAAUACGCGUGGGGCUCACAGUGCAGCAUAGCUGUUAUCAUAAAUGUAAUUUAAAUUUCGUCGUUGUUUCCUUCGUUCGUCUAACUUUAUGCAAAUCAGUUUCCCGGCUUUUCUUAAUAGAAGAAUUUACAUAAAUUUAGACGAACGAAAGUAGCAACGACGAAUGUACAAUUUUAAAUUGGAUUUCGAAACCGGGCACUUGACCGAGCUUAGUGUUCCGGAGAAACGUAUUUCGUGGUUCGAUCAGUCUCUCAUUUCGUAUCAUUCGGCCCUGUUGGCUCGGUGAAGCACGCUGCGGAAAGUAUUUCGAUUAUGAAACAGAGGUGAGUUCCACGAACUGCGGCGUGCAGAAUAUUCGGGGCGGCGCGUCGAUAUCCGAGGUAAUUCAAUAAAUACCGGUGCUAUCAAGAACUUCCUGUACCAAUGAGCUCUGAAUAAUUCCGAAAGUUUGCGAAAUUGUGGAGCACGUCUCCGCCCGAAAUCGCCAAAGUUCCCGCGUAUGAUGUUGAGCAAACCAACGCGAGAUCGUCGCGUCUCUCGAUCCUGGGUGUGUUGCGUAGCAGGUGACAAGGAUAUGACGAGAUUUACACACACACACACAUGGGAAAUAGACGUAGGUCAGUUGUAGGAGGCCGAUCGUAGAAUCGACGAGGGUCCAGCAGGGGCAGUUUUAUUAUGUUUUCGUCGUAUGUCAAGUUUCAAAGUAACAGAAUACGAAACUUACGAGACAUAGGUAUAAAUAAAGUAGAGAUAUUUUAUACUCGAGAGCUGUGUAUGUAUGCUUUUACGUUAAAGUGACGUUCCUUGAUGAUGGCUUUCGAGUAUUAACUAUCAUAGAGAAUUAAAAAAAGAAAGAAAAACACUACGCUUGCAAAGUUAAAUUUUUUCUGGUUUAAUGUUACUUUCUAUGACAGCCCAUCGAAUCGUACGAAGUACGCGCUUGCGACGCACGCUGUAUGAUGUCUAACUCUAAGGGACGAUCAGAGGAAGCGUCCAAGUCAAAAAAUUGUGGGUACAAGUACUGCUGAAAGAAGCAGAAGAUUGGACGUUGGUCUGCGUUGAAGAAAACGCUUCUGGGUGGCGGAGAUAAUCUUGCGUCGAGCUGAAACAACACCUUUCUUCUUCCUCUCUUCAUCUCUCGUUGCAAGACGUCGGUGAAAAAUGCCUGUCAUCAUAGGAUGCACGAAAGAGAACAAUUGCAAAAAGCUUGCAUUUUUAAAAGCCAAGAUGCUUGAACAAGCUCGGGCCGCAGAGAAGAGCAAGAGCAACGAGGUGGGUGCUAGCUCGGAGAAACCCAUGGAAACGCCCGUACGUUCGACCGACACCGAGUUGAACCGCGAGCCAAGAAUCGUGGAACAGCUGGAGGACGAAGAAGUCGAGCAAGGACCGAUAGAAGGAGCCGAGGUUCCAGCUGAACUUCGCGAAACAGCUGGCCAAGCUGAAGCAACAAAUAACGAAGACCCAACUGACGCCUAGGGCAUUUGAAAAUUCAUCAGCACCAGCCAAGAAUAUUAUCGAAUAAAGGAGCGAAGAACUUGACCACGGAGCAGAAAUCUUGGCAACGGACGCUCCUGAUUUACUGACAGUUAGGUAAUAAUUGCUCGUUUCCCUCGACUCGAGAUCUUUCGUCCCGGUUGCGUUGUUGAUGGUCCCAGCAGGUUCCAGGGGGACUCGUUGUACGUACGACGUGAUAUUUCGCUCGCGCUCUGUCUUCCGAGUCCGACAAAACGACAAAUCCUAUCCGCUGCGUACAAUCGAGUUCUCCAAACGAUAAUUCGCGGUCGUAGAGUCUGGAUUUUCGACAAAUUACAGAGAGAAAAGCAUUUACGUGUAUCAGCCCUCUAUCUUCCAAUGAUCCGCGUCUGUCUUCGAGUCGAAGAUCUACACUUGCAGCGAAACGACGUCGUUUCCAAGUACGUUUCGCGCUUAUCAUAAAUUUGCAUCGUUCGAGCAGAAAGCCAGCCGCCGGGAAACGCGCGACAGCCUCCGAGGAAGACUCGUUUAGCCGCGUAAUCACCGGAGGCGGAUUAAUUCGCCGACAUCGAGGAGCUGUGCAAGCUCGCGAGGCUCGGCCGUGCAACGAGAGGAAAACGAGAGGCAAGAAAUCAAGGGAACCUUUUGUGCUUAACGACAGCCAGAGCCCGGCGGAGUCCUUGGGUAAAUUUGCCGACUCGUCCGCUAACUAAGGACGUCCCAACUGACGAUUUCAGCUCGGCUAUCCGACUAGAAAAGAGGUCGCGCGGUGGUUGUUCGGCGCCGUGGACGAGAUCAAGUUCCGUUGGUUCUUUGCCCGGUCAUGUUGUAUCGUCGUGGCUCGCUCAGAAUCGAAAUCGAAUUAACGCGACCGAGGAAUUGAAACGAGACGAUCCGAAGCAGCUUAGAGUCGUUGGAUGUUUCUCGGAGAUCGGAAAAUUGGUUCGUCCGAGGAUAUGGAGAGUGAACCUAACGGGCGACAGGAAAUAGAAGAAAUUAAAGAGGCCGACGAGGUUGCAGAAGAGGCCGAGGGAGAGGAAGGUACCGAAGAGAAGACAACGAAUGCAGGAACUUUGGACGAAACCGCAGAGAGGAAGCCGUUGAAGCAGGAUGAAUCGGUGCAGUUAUCGAUAAACGAAGAAUGCCCGUCUCAAGAGUGGGACGAACACGCGAAAGAAAGAUUCGACACGGCCGUCUUCACUUUGGGCACGUGCGCUGCGGUUUUCGCUGUCUACAUUUACAUCGUGUACAGUUUGAGCAGUCCACCGACCGUGUUGCAUCGAGUCUAACAGCGGUUCCCUAAUCAAACGAUCGAAAGACCGUGCAAGUCGAACGCCAGAGUCCACUGUUUGCGACAGCUGUGUACAAAAGCAGUGUAUCCGAAACGUAAAAUAUACCGAGCAAAAGAUGAAUUUCAGCGCAAUGUUUUCUUUAACACAGAGACUCGCUGACGGAGAGACUUUAACAAGCUCUUCGAGGAACUUAAUUGUAUAUUUUACGUAUUUAUAUAUUUCAUUACAAAUUAUAUACGAUACUUUGGAAUUUCAUUAGCACUUGAACUCCACUUGACUAUCGUUGUUACGUUAAUAACGGCUGAAACGAACCUGAGAACGUAUGUAGAAAUUUCCAGAUACUACUCGAUAUUGCAAAGAUCGUCAGGAUAUUGGCAAGACCAAUUAUUGACUAUAUUAAUAAAUCUCGAUAUCUAGUCGGGCCAUUUUUACCACUAGCUGCGUCUUUGAAACCGCUCCUCAUCUUGCAUACUAAUUUUAACAAUGACGUUGAAUAUACGUUCACGAUGAACGUCUUGCAACUUGCUCGUAGACUUUUGGGUCGAUCUGGAAUUUCGCUAUUGCAAUUAGGAUAUUGUCGUGUCUUCGUUACACAGCUAACCAAGUUCCACAAAGUUUCGUUCGAUGCACGUAAUAUAUUCAUGAAAAAACGUUAAGGUACUCGAGGACUGUUGUCGCGAUUGUAUCGAUAAAGUUUGAAAAGGAUCCGAGGGUGUAUGCAUGUAGAGACGAGGAGAUAUUUAUUGGAAACUAUUUCGCCAAGACCGCCAAUUUGAAAGAUCAAUUAUUCGCGAUAUCACUAUGCCAGAAUAUUCAGCGUGAUCGUGUAUAACGGUAAUUUUACGAUGCAGACUACUCUGUUAACGCCCUAUGCUAAUUUUUCACCGAAUUUAUGUUUUCAAGGCAUAUCCUGCAGCUUCUAUACGCAUCUUCGGCUUAGUUUCGAAAUUUACCAGCAGAAUCGGGACAAUCCUGUCUCGUUACGGUAUUAACGAAGUUUCAAAAAGUUUGGUACAAUGUGCGUAGUAUGUUCAUAAAAAAAAAAUUCUAUAUUAAAGUGUUUGAGUGCUUUUGCGAGUCACUGUACUUUCAUAAAUAAUCGGGCUGGAUGAAACGACGGUGUAGAAAAGUUUCCUCGUUUCCCGCUGAACGGUGAAAAGUUCUAUCAAGUCAGUUACCCAACCAGUCGACUUGUUCUGUUGUAGAUUAAUUAAUUUCUACCGCGUCGCGUGAUUCAAUUAACAGAGCUAAUUGGAUUUCAUCGUUGGAUCGACGCUCGCGUCAAACGGAAUAUCGAUAGAAUUUAAAAAGUGCUAAUAACGUCGGAGAAAAGUAUCACCGCACGCUGUCUCGUAGACGUAUUUGGACACCCGUCACGGCUAACUUUCUUCUUUUUUUCCCAAAUCUGUCGCUAAUUAUAAGAGAAGAAGGAAGGGGCCACGUUGCGCGAGUUUUCGAUUGUUAACAGAAAGAAAAUUGCGGAUAAUUUGCCGGUGAUGAGUUUUUACCGUCGCAUUGCUUUUUAACGAGUAUUACUUUGCAAUACCUUUGAAAGCUCCAUCUGAAAAUGCAUUCGGUGUUCCAAUUGCAGUCAAUUAAAAUGUUGAUGAAGCAUCCCUUAUCGAGUGAAACGACACGACGUACCUAUUAGUUGAAAUAGACGGAAUGUGACACGACGUAGCAAAAAGUUAGAUAUCGUAAAAAUUAUGGAACAAUCAACGAAAUGUUGAUUUUGAUAGCCCGUAAAAAUGAAUUGCCGUUCCUUCGGAAAGUAAUACGUCAACGGUACGAGAAUAUGUCGUCGAAUUGAAUGCUUCGGUUUUAUUAUAUUACAACGUUUCGGAGCUUCGAUUCGAAACGCGUAUUUUCUUCGACUGGAAACCUAGUUCGAUCGAUUUUCCGACGAUUAGUCGAUUGAAUGGUACUUGGAAAUUUAAACGGUGAUUUCUGCCCGCGUGUAUUUCUCUGGAACGUAAUAUCAAAUUUCGAGAAUUUCCACCGCAAACUCGACGCGUUCAAGUUUGACGUACAUCCCGCUACCAUUGACUCGGAUUAAUUAAAUUUCUGGAUUCCUUUGACGGAGAAUGAUGACCUUUCGCCUUCUCACGCUCGGUAAUGUACACUCAAACCUGUCUGGGGUUGUCCGCAAAAUUGCCAUAAGUUACUGCGCCCCUUAAAUACCCAGCGAUCUCGGAAAUUAGACGGAGCACGUGAAGUAUAAUACGUAUAUACCUUCGUUCUAUAACGUCUCUCUGUAAGAGAUACGCAAAUCUCGAAGGUUUCGUGAUUUCGAAACACGCGAGAAUGAGGAACCCACGUUGUCCGAGCUUAUAAGAAGGCGGCAUAAUUAUUCGGAUAAUGGAAUAUUGCGCAUAACGGAAGAGUCGCUAGACAGAGCGGAAUUUUUAUGCAUUUAUGAGAAAUUCAAAGGCGCGGAAAUGCGUAGAAUGCAGGGAAUAUGCAAAAGUAUAUGAAAUAUUCAAAGUAUAGUACUCGUUAUAAUAUUCAGUACGUAAAGCAAUUCUCUGUCUGGUUUUCAUAUUCUCUGUGAAUAUGCAUUUGCAUAAAUAUCCGCGAUCGAACAAUCACUUUUCUCCUAUGAAAUUGAUUAGCGUGGAUGUUUCGAGGUUUUCGCGCGUUAUAAGAAUUCUACGCGCUCUUGCGCUUCCACGAACGUAGUUAAAAAUGCACGUUCGCGAACGUUGUCUGAGAAGAAAAAGAAGAAAAAGUAGAAGCGGAAGAGGGUGAGACGAAGUUCUACCGAACAUGUUAAAAAUUCCCUGCUGUCCGUCAUUUCCUGUCCCACUGACUCUCCAGUGAAAUAUAGCACGAGCUAAAAGCAACAAUACGACGCAUAAUUACGGAAGAAAAAUGCAGAAGCCGCACUCUCCAUUCGUAUUUCUAUGCGGAGAAAUGGCAGAAUAAAAAGAAGCAUCCUGCUGGCCUCGUUAUUUCGUUGUUCUUCUCGUCUAUCCGCUUUUAUUUGUCAAAGAGUGGAUCGAUGACGUCAGAGAACACUCGAAGGCUAAUAGCUCCUUGAGCGUGCCCCUCGAACGAAAACGACGAUUUCUACGAUGGCGUCCAGAAUCUACCGAAACUAUCGGGACGUUUGAUUUUCCGCAAACGAAUGUCGAAAUAUUUAUUCGUAUCUGUAUACCAUUUUUACGUCGAUACGCAGAUGACGACGAUGAACGGCAGCAUUUAACGUACGUAAAGUUAGGCUUACGUUAGCCCAGACGAUGGAUCGAAGUAAAAUCCAGCAAAAGAUUGGAAUAACGAUGACAUCGACCGGUUUCCAGUCAAUUCGCUGGAACCUUGCGAUUUGUUUCCACAUUAACGAAUUGAUUUUUAUAAGAUACCAGUCUUGUUAAUUGUGCUGUAAAAUCGUAACCUGUAAGAGGCCUACCCUGACCCAAUUUACAAGAAGAACAUAAGAAGACCAGCCGCAUUCUCUCAACCAGUUGUUCGUAUCUUAACUGGUUUGGCGACCAGACGAUAGACGCGUGCUCUAUUGUUGAUCUUGAAGAGGAAUAACGAACCUGCUACAAUUCUCCUGGUCUCUAGAGAUCACAGAUUCGACAAGAACAUAAUUGCAUGUAACCACAGCCAUGAUCGGUAAGAAACGCCUAUGUUCUGACGCUAACGCGAACCUAAGAAGACUACGCUGCAGAUUCAUUCUUCAAUGAGCAGAUUUUGGCGAGCAGAUGAUAGUGGCGUGAUGUAAAUGCGACGUAAUUAGGGUGCAGUAUAAAAUAGAAUUUACCUGUUCCUCCUGUACGGUCGAGUAAUUAACGAGAGGAGCUUUCUUGGAAGAAACGUCAUGGGAAAGGCGAAGCGGCACGGCGCUAUGUGAAAUUGCCACUUAGACCUUGUCGCGGAUUGGGUUAAAUUUCAAUUUCUGCCACACGGGCUAUACCUACCACGCUGAAUUAUUGGAUUACUCGGAAUGUUCGACGAAUCUGGUCGCGUGACGGAAUGUUUCGCGGCGUCUCAUUACUCGCGCAAUCGAGUUUCAGCCGGCUGGCUCGCUCGCAUCGCGAUGAAUUUUCACGCUGCUCGCAACUUCCAUCGCGAUACUUGCAUCGCGAACGUGAAGAUCGACCACCCCGAAAAUGCUUUAAAUUGCACUGAAUCGUGCGACGCUGUAGAAUAUGUAAAGUAAUUUUACGCGUGCUCUGGCGCGCGAAUAUCUCCGCUGACGAGUUUCAACAAAAAUGUGUUUCGUCGAAGAUCGUGCGCAGUCACGAGUGCAUGGCCAUUCUUUUGCAAAAAUGACGUAAAUCGAACAGCGCGUUGAACAAGAGCUGACUUUUUAGAGUUCGUUGGCUUUACACGUCGGGAAUAAUGCGAACAUUUUUUAUUUUGUUUUUUAUUUGGGCUGAUUAUUUACGGUUGCGUCGAAUUACUGUCGAUUACUGCAUGACCAGUGACUUAUUUUUGUUAGUCGAUAUCGUAGAUCGAGUUCCGUCAUCUUUGGAAAAAAUUAGCUUCCGUUGAAAUUGUUUAAACGACCUUUUAUAAAAGAGUUAGCAAUAUUUAAGUACGAUGUAGCAGCAGAAGAAUUGUCGCAAGGCAGGAUGAAAUGGUGCACCGUAAUUUUUGCAAAAUAAUACUCGACAACGCAUACAACGUUUCUCACGGCAAGCGUUCAAAUACUUUCUUCAAAACGUUUAUCCUCGUCUUAUAAUAUUUUUGUUCUGCGCUAGAACCACUUUAAAAGUGUCCAGUUAGCUCUAAUUGAAUUAUGGCGUGACACUUCCUUCUCUUUCGCUCUGUUUAUCAACGAAAUUUCCAAAAUGGAGAUAUUUAUCAGAAUUUCGCGUCGUAUUUUACAGUCAAAUUAUAAAAGGUAUCAGGAGACCUACAAAGCGUAGUGGAAAGUGUUUUUGAAAUUUAUUGGAAGACAGGAAUAAGUAUGGCGAAUAAAUUAUGGCUGAUGGACGAAGCGCGGUAGAAGUCAAAGGACGAAAUGUAUGAAUUUUUGAAGGGAUAGUUGCCAAGCUAUUUAGAAAUUAAUUUUGAACAUCGUUAAUAGAACCCUUAUACCUUUCAGCUACGCCACAGAUAAUUUACUAUGAAUCCUGUUAUUAAACGAAGGAGAAAUCAUAUUGGCACAUGAAAUGCGAUAGUCUUCUGCAUGAUCGUAAUUUGCCAUAUCUCUACGGCCUAAUUUCGUUAAAAAUUUAACAGGAUCCGGAACAAAAUAAAUCCGAUCCUCAUUCACCGCAAUAAAUUUCGAACAAAAAUAAGGUACUGAGUACCUAGU